GAUCAUGGCUCAGAUUGAACGCUGGCGGCAGGCCUAACACAUGCAAGUCGAACGGUAACAGGAACAGCUUGCUGUUUCGCUGACGAGUGGCGGACGGGUGAGUAAUGUCUGGGAAACUGCCUGAUGGAGGGGGGAUAACUACUGGAAACGGUAGCUAUACCGCAUAAUGUCGCAAGACCAAAGAGGGGGGACCUUCGGGUCCUCUUGCCAUUCGGAUGUGCCCAGAUGGGAUUAG
rnacentral:rRNA from 1 species